rnacentral:rRNA from 2 species
UAAGGUUAAGUUAUGAAGGGCGCAUGGUGAAUGCCUUGGUACUAGGAGCCGAUGAAGGACGGGACUAACACCGAUAUGCUUCGGGGAGCGGUAAGUACGCUUUGAUCCGGAGAUUUCCGAAUGGGGAAACCCAAUCAUCUUAGUCGAUGAUUACUUGAGCAGUGAAUUCAUAGCUGCCAAGAGGUAGACGCAGUGAACUGAAACAUCUUAGUAGCUGCAGGAAGAGAAAGAAAAUUCGAUUCCCUGAGUAGCGGCGAGCGAAACGGGAAGAGCCCAAACCACUGAGCUUGCUCAGUGGGGUUGUAGGACUGAACUUUGGAGUUACCAAAGAAUCAGGUAGUCGAAGUGGCUGGGAAGCCACACCAGAGAUGGUGAUAGUCCAGUAGACGAAACCUGGUUCUCUCCGUUCAGGAUCCUGAGUACGGCGGGACACGUGAAACCCCGUCGGAAUC